UACGUAGGGUGCGAGCGUUGUCCGGAAUUAUUGGGCGUAAAGGGCUCGUAGGCGGUUUGUCGCGUCGGGAGUGAAAACGCCGGGCUUAACUCGGUGCUUGCUUUCGAUACGGGCAGACUAGAGGUAUGCAGGGGAGAACGGAAUUCCUGGUGUAGCGGUGAAAUGCGCAGAUAUCAGGAGGAACACCGGUGGCGAAGGCGGUUCUCUGGGAAUGUCCUGACGCUGAGGAGCGAAAGUGUGGGGAGCGAACAGG
rnacentral:rRNA from 1 species